UUUGGCAUUGGCUUUACGGGCCAUGAUGCCAUUUCCCACAGCAUGUAACAGGUGAGUUUUACCUAAACCUGUACCGCCAUA
rnacentral:antisense_RNA from 1 species